UACGGAGGAUGCGAGCGCUAUCCGGAUUUAUUGGGUUUAAAGGGUGCGCAGGCGGAUUUUUAAGUCAGCGGUCAAAUCGUGGGGCUCAACCCCAUCCAGCCGUUGAAACUGGGGAUCUAGAGUGUGCGAGAGGUAUGCGGAAUGCGUGGUGUAGCGGUGAAAUGCAUAGAUAUCACGCAGAACCCCGAUUGCGAAGGCAGCAUACCGGUGCACAACUGACGCUCAGGCACGAAAGCGUGGGUAUCGAACAGG
rnacentral:rRNA from 1 species